rnacentral:rRNA from 1 species
GACGAACGCUGGCGGCGUGCUUAACACAUGCAAGUCGAACGGUGAAGCUCCAGCUUGCUGGAGUGGAUCAGUGGCGAACGGGUGAGUAACACGUGAGCAACCUGCCCCUGACUCUGGAAUAAGCGCUGGAAACGGCGUCUAAUACUGGAUACGAGAAGGGUCCGCAUGGGCACUUUCUGGAAAGUUUUUCGGUUGGGGAUGGGCUCGCGGCCUAUCAGCUUGUUGGUGAGGUAAUGGCUCACCAAGGCGACGACGGGUAGCCGGCCUGAGAGGGCGACCGGCCACCCUGGGCCUAGCACGCGCCCCGGCCUCCGGCGGGGGCCGGCAGUGGAGAAUAUUGCACAAUGGGCAAAACCCUGAUCCAGCGACCCCGCGAGAGGGAUGGCGGCCUUCGGGUUUAAACCCUCUUCCAGCGGGAAAGAACAAAAGGUGACGUUCCCUAAAAAAAAAGCCCCGCCAAACUCCGUG